rnacentral:rRNA from 1 species
GACAGAGGGGGCAAGCGUUGCUCGGAAUUACUGGGCGUAAAGGGCGCGUAGGCGGGAUGGCAAGUCGGUCGUGAAAUCCCUCGGCUCAACCGAGGAACGUCGAUCGAUACUGCUGUUCUUGAGGAUUGCAGAGGAGACUGGAAUUCCCGGUGUAGCGGUGAAAUGUGUAGAGAUCGGGAGGAACACCGGUGGCGAAGGCGGGUCUCUGGGCAAUUCCUGACGCUGAGGCGCGAAAGCCAGGGGAGCAAACGGGG